rnacentral:rRNA from 1 species
UACGUAGGUGGCGAGCGUUGUCCGGAUUUACUGGGCGUAAAGGGAGCGUAGGCGGACUUUUAAGUGAGAUGUGAAAUACCCGGGCUUAACUUGGGUGCUGCAUUUCAAACUGGAAGUCUAGAGUGCAGGAGAGGAGAAUGGAAUUCCUAGUGUAGCGGUGAAAUGCGUAGAGAUUAGGAAGAACACCGGUGGCGAAGGCGAUUCUCUGGACUGUAACUGACGCUGAGGCUCGAAAGCGUGGGGAGCAAACAGGAUUAGAUACCCCCGUAGUCCCUGA